rnacentral:rRNA from 1 species
GGGGAAUAUUGCACAAUGGACGAAAGUCUGAUGCAGCAACGCCGCGUGGAGGAUGACACAUUUCGGUGCGUAAACUCCUUUUAUAUAGGAAGAUAAUGACGGUACUAUAUGAAUAAGCACCGGCUAACUCCGUGCCAGCAGCCGCGGUAAUACGGAGGGUGCAAGCGUUACUCGGAAUCACUGGGCGUAAAGAGCGUGUAGGCGGGUGAAUAAGUCAGAAGUGAAAUCCAAUAGCUCAACUAUUGAACUGCUUUUGAAACUGUAUACCUAGAAUGUGGGAGAGGCAGAUGGAAUUUCUGGUGUAGGGGUAAAAUCCGUAGAGAUCAGAAGGAAUACCGAUUGCGAAGGCGAUCUGCUGGAACAUUAUUGACGCUGAGACGCGAAAGCGUGGGGAGCAAAC